AGCCUAAACUCGGCUGAUUUAUCAGCAGGGCAUGGCACAAAAUCGUAGCGUAUAUAGACCCCAUCAUAGGGCGUACGCUACGUUGCAGACCGAAAGGUUUGUAGGUCACCGAAAGGUGGCU
rnacentral:sRNA from 1 species